UACAGAGGUCCCAAGCGUUGUUCGGAUUCACUGGGCGUAAAGGGUGCGUAGGUGGCUGGGCAAGUUUGAUGUGAAAUCUCCGGGCUUAACCCGGAAAAUGCAUUGAAUACUGCUUAGCUGGAGGUUUGGAGGGGGGACUGGAAUUCUCGGUGUAGCAGUGAAAUGCGUAGAUAUCGAGAGGAACACCAGUGGCGAAGGCGGCUCACUGGACCGGAACUGACGCUGAUGCGCGAAAGCGUGGGGAGCAAACAGG
rnacentral:rRNA from 1 species